GCCAUGGUUGCCCAUAGUUGUGCUAGCUAAUAUUAAUCGCGGGAUAAUUAAGGUUUUACGUGAGCUCUUUUCGAGACAAAAUAGCCUGUUGUGAUAAAAUGUCUGUUGUUUUCGUACCGAAGAGGCAGCGUGGAAAGGCAGAAAUAAACCAGGAAAUCAUCCAGAGGCUACUAGAUGAAAACGACCAGCUGGUGAAGUGCAUAGCGGAGUACAUGCAGAGGGGGCGUGCCACCGAGUGUGUCCAAUAUCAACAGAUUCUGCAUCGCAACAUUGUCUACCUGGGCACCAUAGCGGACGCCAGCCCAGACACGCCCUCGGAAACGACAGAGACUCAAGAAAAUGGAGAAUGACCUGAAGACGGGAUGAGAAAGAGGUGAAGAGGGGAAGGAUGAAGAGGGGAUGAGGGAGAGGUGAAGAAGUGGAGGAUGAAGAGGGGAUGAGGGAGAGGUGAAUGGUUGCUGCUGGGCUGUAGUGCUGUUGUCCAGACUCAGACUUUAGUCCGGGUCGAGUCCUCUUUUCUACAGACCGUUUCUCGAAAGCGUCUUUGCUAUCGAGCAAGUCCUUCGUACGAGCGACUCAACUCUCUCUCGACGGCGACGCUCACAACUAAAUCCAAGGGAAUGGUGUUAUGCCGUAAGACGGUCUUAAGACGGUUAGCAACGACAAUAAUCGAGAAACGGGCCCCUGGACUUGCUAGCUGGUGAACUCAGAACUGUCUUGGAUUUGGAAAAUGGUCUUGCCAAAUACCGCUUUUGGAUUCGGCCGAGUAGUUCUUAAUUUUAUUUAGAAGAUUAGCCAUCAUAUAUUUUGAAGUGGUGGCUUAAUCCAAUAACACGCUAGUUAAUCUUCACAGAAAUGACGAUAACAUGAAUAUUUGAAGGCAAACUAAAUGUCAUGCAUCGUCUUCAUUGAUUUCCACUGACCAACAUGCGAUUCCAACUGGACUUGGACUCGAACCUCUUUGGACUUGUCUCAGACUCUUCAAAAAGGGACUUGACUACAUCAUACACACGUGUGUUUAAAUGGUUUGGACUUGACUACAUCAUACACACGUGUGUUACAAUGUUUUGUGCUAUUGACUGCACAGGUGUGUAUUGCGUUCUUGCCAAUAAAUGUAGUUUUUUU